GAGUGCCUGGAAAAAUUCUCCGACAGCCUCAACCAAAUGAUUGACAACCAAGUGGAGCUUCUGGACAGCACCCAGCACUCAUCCCGGCAACACAUCUAUACCCUGGUGAAAGAGGACGUGAAGCGGUUCAAGGAGGCGCGGAAGGAGUUCGAGCGGGGCAGCGAGGGGCUGGGUUUGGGGGGGCUGGGUUUGGGGUCCCCCUGACCCCCCCGCUGUCCCAGGGACGUGAAGCGGUU